UACGGAGGAUGCAAGCGUUAUCCGGAAUGAUUGGGCGUAAAGCGUCCGCAGGCGGCUGUGUAAGUCUGCUGUCAAAGAGCGAAGCUCAACUUCGUAAAGGCAGUGGAAACUACACGGCUAGAGUGCGUUCGGGGCAGAGGGAAUUCCUGGUGUAGCGGUGAAAUGCGUAGAGAUUGGGAAGAACACCGGUGGCGAAAGCGCUCUGCUGGGCCGCAACUGACACUAAUGGACGAAAGCUAGGGGAGCGAAUGGG
rnacentral:rRNA from 1 species